GAUGAACGCUGGCGGCGUGCCUAAUACAUGCAAGUCGAGCGAACAGACGAGGAGCUUGCUCCUCUGACGUUAGCGGCGGACGGGUGAGUAACACGUGGAUAACCUACCUAUAAGACUGGGAUAACUUCGGGAAACCGGAGCUAAUACCGGAUAAUAUAUUGAACCGCAUGGUUCAAUAGUGAAAGACGGUUUUGCUGUCACUUAUAGAUGGAUCCGCGCCGCAUUAGCUAGUUGGUAAGGUAACGGCUUAUCAAGGCAACGAUGUGUAGCCGACCUGAGAGGGUGAUCGGCCACACUGGAACUGAGACACGGUCCAGACUCCUACGGGAGGCAGCAGUAGGGAAUCUUCCGCAAUGGGCGAAAGCCUGACGGAGCAACGCCGCGUGAGUGAUGAAGGUCUUCGGAUCGUAAAACUCUGUUAUUAGGGAAGAACAAAUGUGUAAGUAACUAUGCACGUCUUGACGGUACCUAAUCAGAAAGCCACGGCUAACUACGUG
rnacentral:rRNA from 1 species